rnacentral:precursor_RNA from 12 species
GGACAUUGUCUUCGGCAAGUGGCUAAGACAACCCGACCGGAUGAGCAAACUGUUCUAGACUAGUUUGUUCGCCCCGGAUCGUGUCGUCCAGGUCACUGUAUCGGCGUGGCGAAUAC